UACGUAGGCAGCGAGCGUUGUUCGGAGUUACUGGGCGUAAAGAGUGCGUAGGCGGUUUUCUAAGUUUGGUGUGAAAUCUCCCGGCUUAACUGGGAGGGUGCGCCGAAAACUGGAAGGCUUGAGUAUGGGAGAGGUAAGCGGAAUUCCUGGUGUAGCGGUGAAAUGCGUAGAGAUCGGGAAGAACAUCGGUGGCGAAAGCGCUCUACUGGACCGCAACUGACACUCAGGGACGAAAGCUAGGGGAGCGAAUGGG
rnacentral:rRNA from 1 species